ensembl:snRNA U2 U2 spliceosomal RNA
AUUGCUUCUCGGCCUUUUGGCUAAGAUCAAGUGUAUUUUGAGAUCCACCUGUGUUCGUAUGUGUAUCAAUCAUUCAUUUGUUUUUAUUAAUAAGUAUCUCAUAUUAGAGACACCACAAUUUAUUUAUCAGUUCACUUACUGCUGACCGUACAAACUGUUCCCAG